UGAAGCUUGUCUUAAAUUUGUCCUUGUUGCCAUCUUGUUAUUGACAAUGGAGCCCGAGCCUUUAGCAUUCUUUCUUCUAUCCUUUUAGAGAGAGAGAGAGAGAGAGAGAGAGAGUUGUGAUCUCCUCCGGCAACUUCUGGCAAACCUCCGGUGCUGAACCUUGUAGUCGUAGUUGCAAGUUUUCUUCGCCCCAUCUUAUCACUCUUCCAAAGUAAUCAUCUAUGCCUUUGAUAACCAAGCCAUUUAACUUUAUUGUUUUCUUCUCUCCAUUUGCUUCUUCUUCUUUCUAUUAUUGGUGGUGGUGGUUGCUAGCUCUAGGAGGUUUUGGAGCUUGGAUUUCAUAUGGUUUCUCUUUUCGCCUCUCUUCACUUCUCUCUUUUCCGGCCAUCGAAAUCAAGAGUAUUAGACCAGCGUGGAUCUUAAAAGAUUGUUUGUAGAUGCUGUGUUAUUUGUUGUAAAUUUUGAGUUAUUGUCAUUGUCUAUCCCUGUAUUCUUGUAUUUUGUAUUUUGGACUUCUGUAUCCUGGUAUUGUGUACUUUAUAGAGUCUGUAAUCCUAUAACACUGUUGGGUUAUUAUAGAUUUGCUUGUCCUGAA